rnacentral:rRNA from 1 species
GAUGAACGCUAGCGGCAGGCCUAAUACAUGCAAGUCGAACGAGAUUGAGGAGCUUGCUCCUCAUGAAAGUGGCGCACGGGUGCGUAACGCGUAUGCAAUCUACCUUAAUCAGGGGGAUAGCCCGGAGAAAUCCGGAUUAAUACCGCAUAACGUUAUUUUAUGGCAUCAUAGAAUAACCAAACAUUUAUGGGAUUAAGAUGAGCAUGCGUGACAUUAGUUAGUUGGUGAGGUAACGGCUCACCAAGACUACGAUGUCUAGGGGAUCUGAGAGGAUGACCCCCCACACUGGUACUGAGACACGGACCAGACUCCUACGGGAGGCAGCAGUAAGGAAUAUUGGUCAAUGGGCGCAAGCCUGAACCAGCCAUGCCGCGUGCAGGAAGACGGCCCCUAUGGGUUGUAAACUGCUUUUUAUUCGGGAAUAAACCUNUUUACGUGUAAGGAGCUGAAUGUACCGAAGGAAUAAGGAUCGGCUAACUCCGUGCCAGC